UCCAGCUGGGUUAUAUUUCCAGCUGGGUUACAUUUCCAGCGGGCGUCAAGAUAGCCGGUUAUCCAGUGUGAGGAUGCUACAUAAAAAAAGAAAUACCACACAACUAAAAUAAACGUCCUUAAAAUGAAAUUACUCAGACCAAAAUGACCGAUACUUACCAAACUUAAAUGCUUGUUUUAAUAUUUUUCGACUUGUAAAACAUAUUGGUUUAACUCAUUUUUGCAACAUCCCUGCAGCAUGAAAUAUAAGCGACAGGGAUAGAAUCGUAUUAAGGUAAAAAAACAUAGCAUAACUUUGAGCGCUCUCCAAUUUACCAACAUAUCAUUUAAUUCGGGCUAACCCAAAUAUUUUAGGCGGAAACAAUGAUCUAAAAAAUCCAUAAAAUGUGAGUACUCUGAAAGUGACUAGUGAUACAAACUUAUUGACAUAAGAUUUUUGCAAGAUAUUCUUAAUAAAUAUUAGCUGGUAAAUGCAUGUUUGAUAUAAUCUUCUGAAUAUGGAUUUCUUCUGCUUCGUGUAAUAAAAAUAAAAGCUUGAGAAGGGAUAUAUCAAUGUAGUUGGGACAUUCUUGAUUGAUUUAUGAACACGUGUUACCACAUACAACAACAAUAAGAUGGAUAAUUAAAGAUGCAACUACAGCACAAAUGCCUAUAUAGGGUAGCUAUCUAAUUUUGGAAAAGAAGCACGAUCAUACUGUCAAUGAAAAGUCUUUGACAUUUAAUGCCCACUUUCUUAAGUAAAGGCUAUUAAACUGGCGUUGAUAAGAUAUAACACAUUUUCAUACAUGCGUAGACAAAACCUUAGAUAAGAAUAUAUUCAUGUAUUUUGGCCAUUUAUGAUGUCAACAAUGACAAUUACUGGAGUCAUUGCUUUGUUCAUUAUUUUACCUGCUGGACAUUGCUUUCUGGUAGACAGUGCUCCUCGGAAAGUUGUUGAGACCCUAGGUGCAACAAAUCGUACAGGCUGGGGAACGUGGGGGCGCCCUCAGUUUUGUGCAGAUGGGUCAUCUGCAGUUGGAUACGAAAUGAAGAUCGAGCGUAUGCAGCACAGCGGUGACGACACAGCCCUCAAUGCAAUAAAGCUCGUCUGCCAAUCGUUAGAAGAUCAUCACUUUGGCGGUACAAUUACUUCAACAGUUGGUCUGUUUGGAGACUGGGGUGGAGAAACAAAAUGUAAAGACGGGUUUUUUCCUGAAAGAGUAUGCGUUACAAGUAGAAGAUGACCAGCACGGUGGAGACGACACCGCCGCGAACUACAUAAAAUUUAAGUGUGGGGAAUUUGAAUCGACCUCGUCCAGUUAUGAAUUGGCCAAAUCACCAGGGCACGGUUUCUGGGGCACAAUGGGAAGUUGGAGCAAAACGUGUCCGCCAGAUUCGGCUAUAUGUGGUAUUCGAACGAAGGUGGAAGGUGACCAACACGGUGGCGAUGACACCUCUCUCACUGACGUAGAAUUAUACUGUUGUAGCGAAUAGAUUGAAAUACAAUGUAUCAUAUAUCGUG
rnacentral:lncRNA from 1 species